AUCAACGCUGGCGGCGUGCCUCAGACAUGCAAGUCGAACGCGAAAGUUCCCUUCGGGGGGCGAGUAGAGUGGCGCACGGGUGAGUAACACGUAGGUAAUCUACCUUUGGGUGGGGAAUAACAGCCGGAAACGGCUGCUAAUACCGCAUAAUGCAGCGGCUCGACAUCGAGACAGUUGUUAAAGCGGGGGAUCGCAAGACCUCGCGCCUAAAGAGGAGCCUGCGGCGGAUAGCUUGUUGGUGAGGUAAUGGCUCACCAAGGCAUCGAUCCGUAGCCGGCCUGAGAGGGCGGUCGGGCCACACUGACACUGACAUACGGGUCAGACUCCUACGGGAGGCAGCAGUCGGGAA
rnacentral:rRNA from 1 species